rnacentral:tRNA from 1 species
GCCUGGGUGGCUCAGUGGUUGAGCAUUUGCCUUUUGCUCAGGUCAUGAUCCUGGGGUCCUGGGAUCGAGUCCCAUAUCAGGCU